rnacentral:rRNA from 1 species
CGCUGCAAGCCAAACCUCCUUGUCAAAGCCUGCUCUUGUCAGAUCUUAGAAGCUGAGUAUGGCUGAGUCUGGUUGGUAUUUGGAUGGGAGACUGCUGGGAACUCCAGGUGCCACAGGGG